rnacentral:lncRNA from 1 species
CUCCUGUAUAUUUUAAUCUUGGAUUGUUUUUAUGGGUUUAUUUACUGAUAAUAUUUAAUGUAUUAUGUACUUGUAUGCUGCUUUGUGCACCCUAUAUGAUUUCUGUGUUUUGCUUUGAUGUUUUUUGGCACCCCUUUUGGGUGUCUCUGUUUCUUCCCCUGCUUUGCACGGUCUCCCUGCCUGUGCUGUACCUUUUGUGUGCACAGACAGGGACCGCGGAUCACUGGGGAAGCCUUUUUCUCGGGAGCUGCUGUGCUACCUGACCGCCCUCCCUCCUCCCCUCGCGACCGCGUGUGGCGACCCGCUCUACCUCCGGCCGCGUGUGUUUUUCCAACGAGCUCCCCGGCCAUUGGCGGGGGAGGAGCUUGGGGCCGCGGCAUGCUCUGCACGUGGCGGCCAUCUUCUUUCACACACGUGGCUGCUGGCGGAUCCGGCGGUCGGCUCCCUUUACCCUUGUUUUUUCUCCACAGGUAUUUGCUUUGUAUGUUACUCAACCCCUGUUCUGUAGUUUAGGUUUUGCUCCAUCAAACUGUUAUAGCAUUGUAUUCUGAGACUGGUGGCCUGGCUCCCAUAAUAUUUAUUGUGGCUUAAUAUUUUAUCUGCGUAUAUUUAAAGGGACAUACCCCCUUUUUAACCACAAGCUUAUUUGCCCUCCUGUCUAUCAUGCAGGCUAAGGGUGAUGAUUCUGGCUGCCCCAGCUACCCCACCAUGGAAGCCUUUCAGGCCCCUAUCUCAAGUGAAGGGGGACUCACCCCCUCUCAGGAGUUCCAGGCCCUUAUUGAUUCUACUAUGCAGAGGGCCCUGGCCUCUGCCAUGGGGACAGUCUCAUCAUCGCUGUCUCACACUAUCCAACAGGCCCUGACUCAGCCCCUGGCUUCUCCUAUGUUGGCAAGCCUCCUGCCUGCGCUGCAACCUCAGGUAGCCGCAAGGCAUAUGCCAAAACUAAGCAUGUCUCCCCCGAUAUGACACAGGUAGUACCUGCCCUGACUGACGUGCCUAUGGCCGUCCAAGAUGGCGCAUUACCGCACAACAGAGCCGCUGGCCGGGCAAAAUCGACCAGAAAGUGGAAAAGGGCGCGUGCCCAUGACAAUGACAAGUCUAAUUCCGAUCCAAGUGGGGAGACAGGUUCGGACACCCCCGGCUACGCCUCUUAUGAGGAAGGGGACUCCGACGCGGAGGCGGGGUCUGACGCUUCGGCGUUACCUCCGAGUGAGGAACAAGGCAUAUGCGAUCCGCAGGGUUACCCCCUGUUCGAUCCUGAUGACCUUCACCACCCUCGCUCGGUGGAUUGGGACCCGACCCGAGCAUAUAGCUAGCUAUCUAGCGCUUCGUAUGCGUACCCCCUUAUCCAAGGAGGGGCGGAGUAAGUUACGGCCCUCAGUGCCUGAUGCGGCGUGUAAGACACCAGAGGUUGACCCUCAGAUCUCACAGUUCCUGACAAAAACGGGCUGGAAACCCAGAAAGGGUUUGGAGUUUUCACUCCAUAAUUGCCAGGACAAGAUUUUGGACACUCUAGGUCCCGUGACUAAGCUUUAUGAGCUAUUGGAGACGGCUAAAACAGGGGAUACCACCCUUGAUUUCGAUGUAGCAAUAGGUUGGGUCCAGAGAUUGAUUUGCCUACUCGGCAAUGCUAACACUGCUAUGUCAGCCGAACGCCACAAAGCGAUCCUGCUUAAAAUCAAACCUAAACUGGUUAACCUUGCGGUCAAGGAACCGGGCGCUGCCGCUAAAGGCAUGCUCUUUGGUGAGUCUAUUGUUAAAGACUUGGGCUCUUUUGUGCACACCUUCACCGCCCUAGAUAAGGCCCAAUCCAACCUUAAGAGAGUUUUUGGUCCAAAGGUUUUAAACAGGGCCGGGAGGUAUAGGAGCCGUCCGCGCGGCCAUGGAAAUUGAGGUCCCUCACGGACUCAAAGAGGUUCCUUUGCUGCCCCUCGGGCCUAUCAGAACUACAAACCCGCUCCCUUCUUUCCCUCCCGCGGGAGGACAUGGCAGAAUCGGGGAGGACUUGGCCAACCCUCAUACAGACGCCCUUACAGUGAGUACUCAAAAAGGGUUUUCUCUCCAGGCGAGUGUGGGAGGCAGGUUAGCUUUGUUUCUCGACAUGUGGGGCAUGAUCACCACGGAUGUGUGGGUGUUAAAUACUAUCAGAGGCUUUCGCCUAGAUCUUUUGUCUCCCCCUAUCCAGGUGGACUCACCUCAGGAACUGAGGUUGCCGGAAGAUCAGUCCGGGCUGAUUACCAAGGAGAUCUCAGAACUUCUGGCCAAACGAGCAAUACAAGAAGUCCCGUACGAUCAUCCGGGAUUUCUAAGCAACCUGUUCCUCGUUGCCAAGAAAGGCGGAGGUGUUCGGCCGGUGAUCAAUCUCAAGCGACUCAACGGAUUCCUUCGUUACCAUCACUUCCAGAUGGAGGGCAUACAUUGCCUCAGAGAUCUGCUUCGGCAAGGGGAUUGGAUGGUCAAGCUAGACCUCAAGGACGCAUACCUGACUUUACCUAUGGCAGAAGUACACUGGGACUUAUUGCACUUUACGUGGCAAGGACGUCGGUGGAGGUUUACCUGUCUGCCCUUCGGUCUCUCUUCAGAACCUUGGUGCUUCACGAAGGUGAUGAAGCCGGUGGUGGCGUUCCUCAGGUCACGGGGCGUACGCAUGAUUAUCUACCUGGACGACAUACUGAUUAUGUCCGCGUCCCCCGACCAACAUAUGCAACACCUGAGCUGGACGGUGGAUCUUCUGGAGAGCUUAGGUUUUCUCAUAAAUUGGGAAAAGUCCAUGGUGACCCCAUCGCAGAAAAUAGAAUUUCUGGGUUUCGAAGUCGAUUCGGUCGCCCAGUUUCUGUUCCUUCCAGAGACCAAGCUAAAGACUAUCAAGAAAGAAAUAACACGUACUCUACGGACCACCAGUCUCUCCGUACGACAAUUGGUGAGGGUCAUUGGUCUUUUGGCCUCCUCCAUUCAGGCAAUAUUUCCGGGACCCCUACAUUAUCGGGCCCUACAACGUCUGAAAGGAUCCCACCUUCGCUCGGGCAGAGACUCCAAGGAGGAACUUCGAUGGUGGUUGGAUCAUAUGGAGGCAUGGAAUGGUCGAGCAAUCUUCGGCACCGCCCCGGACAUGGUGAUAGAAUCGGAUGCCAGCCUGCAUGGCUGGGGCGCUCGCUGUGGAGAUGUCUCCACAGGUGGCAGAUGGUCCGAAAUCGAAUCAAAGCUACACAUCAACUGUCUGGAAUUGCUGGCGGGAUCAUUCGCUAUUCGCAGCCUGUCUCCAACCCUGGGAAACUGCUGCGUCCUUCUGCGUAUGGACAAUGUGUCCGCGGUCAGAUAUAUAAAUCACCUAGAUGGCACAAAGUCAAAACAACUGGCGAAUCUAGCGAAGGAUUUCUGGCAGUUCUGCCUCCACAGCGCGGUGUCGGUCACGGCCGAACACAUCCCGGGUUUGGACAACGAAUGGGCGGACUGGAAUUUGCGAUACUUGAAAGACUCCGGAGGUUGGCAUCUGUUACCUUCGAUCUUAUGACAGAUCGACUAUGGGGCCCGUUACAACUGGACUUGUUCGCAUCCAGACUGAACGCUCAACUACCCCAAUACUUCAGUUGGAGAAUGGAUCCAUCAGCCACGGCGGUGGACGCGUUCCUGCAGAUAUGGCCUCGGGGUCGUCACUUUGUGUUUCCCCCUUUCAACCUGAUCUCUCGGACGCUGGCAUACUUGUCCGGACAAGAAUGCACGUUGGUGGUGAUAGUUCACCUAUGGCAGACUCAGCCUUGGUUUCCACGACUUUUGGAGAUGGCGACGGAGUGCCCACGGAUGAUCAGGAUGCGAUCAGAGGUGCUUCUGGAUCCGGAUGGGAACUCGCACGACUUAGUGGACCAGAACCUGCUCCAGCUCACAGCUUGGUUGAUUUCCGGGGACCCUGGUGUGUCUCGGACGUUCCGCAGGCUACUACAAGACUCCUGGAGAAUGCCUGGGCACCGGGUACCAGAACAGCUUACAAGGCUGCAUGGCGUGUAUGGUCUGGCUGGUGCGUAGGGAGACUGCUGGAUCCCCUUUCUGCCCUUCUGAAGGAGGUGCUCAAUUUUCUAACUACGCGUUUUGAAUCUGGUUUGGCCUAUCGCACUAUCAAUGUUUAUAGAUCGGCCAUUUCAGCCGGACAUCUAGGUAUUGACGGAUCACCGAUUGGACAACAUCCUUUCGUGUGCCGUUUGUUGAAGGGUAUUAGUUACUCUGGGCCUCCGAAAUCCAGAUAUUCAUCGUUUUGGGAUGUUAACGUGGUGCUGGACUUCUUGGAAUCAUGGCCUCCUAAUGAGGACCUGUCACUGAAGCAAUUAUCCUGGAAAUUGGUUAUGCUCCUGUGUCUCCUUUCAUGCAAAAGGGUUUCAGAUGUCAGGGCUUUGGACUGGAACGCGUUAUCCUUCACCCACGAGGGAGUGUCGUUUAACAUCUCUAGAAGGACGAAGACGUCUUCUAAGUCAGUGACCUACCCUAGGUGUUCAGUCCGACCUGCUCUGCGUCCGGUAGCUUGCCUACAGGUGUACUUGGAUCGCACUCACCUAUUGAGGUCAUCGGAUUUAUCCCAAUUGUUUAUUUCAUUUAAGAAACCGUUUCUCCCGAUCUCCUUGACUACGUUAGCUCGUUGGAUUAAGAACCUUCUAUCCGCUGCAGGAAUUGACACUUCAAUAUUUUCAGCUCAUUCGGUCAGAGGCGCCAUGGCGUCUAAGGCCUCCACGAUGGGAUGUCGUCUGGAUGAUAUCCUGAAGGCAGCGGAUUGGUCUAGAGAAUCUACUUUCCGCGAUUUUUAUUUCUGCCCGAUUGACCAUGUUUCCUCGUUAGUUAUGGCUCAGCUUUAAACUAGCAUAAUAGGAGCCUCCGUGUCAUUAAUAAAAUUCCCAGAUUUUAC